CCUACGGGAGGCAGCAGUGAGGAAUAUUGGUCAAUGGGCGCAAGCCUGAACCAGCCAAGUCGCGUGAGGGAUGACGGUCCUAUGGAUUGUAAACCUCUUUUGUCGGGGAGCAAGGCCCGCCACGAGUGCCGUGAAGGAGAGUACCCGAAGAAAAAGCAUCGGCUAACUCCGUGCCAGCAGCCGCGGUAAUACGGAGGAUGCGAGCGUUAUCCGGAUUUAUUGGGUUUAAAGGGUGCGUAGGCGGAAGGUUAAGUCAGCGGUAAAAUGGCGGUGCUCAACACCGGCCAGCCGUUGAAACUGGUGUUCUUGAGUGAGCGAGAAGUAUGCGGAAUGCGUGGUGUAGCGGUGAAAUGCAUAGAUAUCACGCAGAACUCCGAUUGCGAAGGCAGCAUACCGGCGCUCAACUGACGCUGAGGCACGAAAGCGUGGGGAUCGAACAGGAUUAGAUACCCUAGUAGUC
rnacentral:rRNA from 1 species